rnacentral:rRNA from 1 species
AGGGUUUGAUUAUGGCUCAGGACGAACGCUGGCGGCGGGCCUAACACAUGCAAGUCGAACGCACUCGACCUUCGGGUCACGUGAGUGAGUGGCGAACGGGUGAGUAACACGUGAGAAACCUGUCCCGAAGACUGGAAUAACCCGAGGAAACUCGGGCUAAUACCGGAUAUCCCCACCGGAUCACAUGGUCUGGUGAGGAAAUGCUCCGGCGCUUCGGGAGGGUCUCGCGGCCUAUCAGUUAGUUGGUGAGGUAACGGCUCACCAAGGCAUCGACGGGUAGCUGGUCUGAGAGGACGAUCAGCCACACUGGGACUGGGACACGGCCCAGACUCCUACGGGAGGCAGCAGUGGGGAAUCUUGCGCAAUGGGCGAAAGCCUGACGCAGCCACGCCGCGUGAGGGAUGAAGGCUUUCGGGUUGUAAACCUCUUUCAGCAGGGACGAAAAUGACGGUACCUGCAGAAGAAGCUCCGGCCAACUACGUGCCAGCCGCCGCGGUAAUUC